CGAACGAUGAACCUCCUUCGGGAGGGGAUUAGUGGCGAACGGGUGAGUAACACGUGGGCAAUCUGCCCUGCACUCUGGGACAAGCCCUGGAAACGGGGUCUAAUACCGGAUACGAGUUUCACAGGCAUCUGUGAUUCUGGAAAGCUCCGGCGGUGCAGGAUGAGCCCGCGGCCUAUCAGCUUGUUGGUGAGGUAACGGCUCACCAAGGCGACGACGGGUAGCCGGCCUGAGAGGGCGACCGGCCACACUGGGACUGAGACACGGCCCAGACUCCUACGGGAGGCAGCAGUGGGGAAUAUUGCACAAUGGGCGCAAGCCUGAUGCAGCGACGCCGCGUGAGGGAUGACGGCCUUCGGGUUGUAAACCUCUUUCAGCAGGGAAGAAGCGAAAGUGACGGUACCUGCAGAAGAAGCGCCGGCUAACUACGUGCCAGCAGCCGCGGUAAUACGUAGGGCGCAAGCGUUGUCCGGAAUUAUUGGGCGUAAAGAGCUCGUAGGCGGCUUGUCGCGUCGGAUGUGAAAGCCCGGGGCUUAACCCCGGGUCUGCAUUCGAUACGGGCAGGCUAGAGUUCGGUAGGGGAGAUCGGAAUUCCUGGUGUAGCGGUGAAAUGCGCAGAUAUCAGGAGGAACACCGGUGGCGAAGGCGGAUCUCUGGGCCGAUACUGACGCUGAGGAGCGAAAGCGUGGGGAGCGAACAGGAUUAGAUACCCUGGUAGUCCACGCCGUAAACGGUGGGCACUAGGUGUGGGCAACAUUCCACGUUGUCCGUGCCGCAGCUAACGCAUUAAGUGCCCCGCCUGGGGAGUAC
rnacentral:rRNA from 1 species